rnacentral:rRNA from 1 species
GGGUUGUAAAGCACUUUUGUCCGGAAAGAAAUCCUUGGCUCUAAUACAGCCGGGGGAUGACGGUACCGGAAGAAUAAGCACCGGCUAACUACGUGCCAGCAGCCGCGGUAAUACGUAGGGUGCAAGCGUUAAUCGGAAUUACUGGGCGUAAAGCGUGCGCAGGCGGUUUGCUAAGACCGAUGUGAAAUCCCCGGGCUCAACCUGGGAACUGCAUUGGUGACUGGCAGGCUAGAGUAUGGCAGAGGGGGGUAGAAUUCCACGUGUAGCAGUGAAAUGCGUAGAGAUGUGGAGGAAUACCGAUGGCGAAGGCAGCCCCCUGGGCCAAUACUGACGCUCAUGCACGAAAGCGUGGGGAGCAAACAGGAUUAGAUACCCUGGUAGUCCACGCCCUAAACGAUGUCAACUAGUUGUUGGGGAUUCAUUUCCUUAGUAACGUAGCUAACGCGUGAAGUUGACCGCCUGGGGAGUACGGUCGCAAGAUUAAAACUCAAAGGAAUUGACGGGGACCCGCACAAGCGGUGGAUGAUGUGGAUUAAUUCGAUGCAACGCGAAAAACCUUACCUACCCUUGACAUGGUCGGAAUCCUGCUGA